rfam:Raoultella ornithinolytica strain S12, complete genome.
CCGGGUAAUAACGACCUGUCCAUGAUGGAAGGUCAUAAAAUUCUCGCUGAUUUCAGGAGCUAUUUAUUAUGCGUA